CUAGCCGGAGCAGCCCUAUCCACAAACACAUCUCGUGCAUACAAUCGAGCAUUUACCAUAUACACCAAAUUCACGACACAUCAUCAGAUAACUGACACUCAUUCUCUAGAUUCCAUUAUUGCAUUUAUUUCUUUCUGCCACCUUAACCUAAAAUUAUCAUUGAACACCAUUAAACUAUAUCUCUCGGGUAUACAACAUCAUAUCAUCAGU